UGGGUUCUCCAGGGGGUGGAGCGCCUGUUGAGUCAGCAGGCGGAUGGCAGGGCCCUGCCUGGAGCGCAGGCCCCUCACUCCAAGCUCCAGUCCUCCUCCACUCCACGGUGGAGGGAGCGCAUGUCUUGCUGCCUCCACCGUGUUGCCUUGCUCCGGGAAGAUGCUGAUUCCUGCUCAACACAGGCCUUUGACUCUUGGAAAUUCACGGGAGAUUCCAGAGAGCGCCCGGUUCUGUGCUAACUGCUGAGACCAGGAAGGACACAUGGGCAGUCUUCAUGCAUGGGUUUUUAUCAGAAUGAUCUAACCUUCAGGAAAGGCCAAGAAACUCUACUCCUGCCUUUGCGCUCUCAACCUGCUUCCAGGAAUUUAUCCCAAAGAAGUACUUCCAAAGACGGUUUAAAAGUCUUGCUUUAAUAAAGGUUGAUUGUAUAUAUAAUAGCAGGUAGAGCUACACAGGCACCAAAUGACAGCUGGACGAACAAACUCUGGCCCAUCCGCUGGAAGGAAUACGACGAGAAGCUCACAAAUGACAAAUGUAAAUCUCGUCCAGCCAUAGGAAAGUGUACAUGAGGGAACAUCAGGGAAAAUGCUUGAAAUUCAAACUGUAUACGUCUGUCAAGUGUUUUUUUUUUUAAACCUCCUCACUGUGCUCUAGAAAGGCCACCUCCUGGAUUUGACACUGCCCAGUGUGCUAGUUUCUUUUUUAAUAUUUAUUUUAUUUUUAAAACGUAUUUGGCUGCACCAGGUCUUCACUGCAAUAUUCUUCUCUUUUAAUUGUGGCAUGCAAAGUCUUAGCUGUGGCAUGGGGGGUCUAGUUCCCUGACCAGGGAUAGAACUCAGGUCCCCUUUACUGGGAGCUUGGAGUUAUAGCCACGGGAGCACCAGGGAAGUCCCUAGUUUCUUCUUGUUAAUGACUGAAUUCAGAGAGACAUUUCCCCAUGUGAACUGGGCCUCACAGCAAGGGUUAUCUUCCAGGAUGAAUAAAAAACAGCCACUUCCAAUCUCAAUGUACACUUGGCUCUCUGAAUCUGCAAGUUCCCCAUCCUCGGAUAUGGAGGUGACUGGAGGCCUGUAGAUGAAAACUGGAAGAGCUGAAGAAAGAUUUUUUAAGAAUUGAAAUAAAGCCUGUCUUCUUUUUUAUGGGUAUUUGUGUCCUUAGAAAAGACCCUGAUGCUGGGAAAGAUUGAAGACAGGAGGAAAAGGGGAUGACAGAGGAUGAGAUGGUUGAAAGGCAUCACCGACUCGAUGGACAUGAGUUUGUGCACGCUCCGGGAGUUGCUGAUGGACAGGGAAGCCUCACAUGCUGCAGUCCGUGGGAUGGCAAAGAACUGGACAUGACUGAGAGACUGAACUGAACUGUGUCCUUGGAUAAUGGAUUGACAGAUAAAAUAAUCCCUGUGAAAAUGUUUUCUGACUUUUAAGUAUGUUUCAAUAUAAAAUUUUGAUUCCCUUUCUUGAAAAAGUAAAACAUCAUUUAAUAACUGCUAACUGCUCGAUCCUGCAUUAGGUGGCUGGUAUAGAAAUUGAGCGUUUGCUAUCUGGGAGUCAGAAGAGUGGGGACGGAAUCUUGACCUGGUCUUUCCCUUCUCAGAUUACUCUGGGAGUUGGGAUGCAAAGAAGGAGUAGCACGUGCUCACAUGCAAAGGAUGGGAGAUCACUUUCUCAGGCAAGUUUGUCCUGGACCAGGGGAAACUGCCCCUCUGGCUCAAGUGACCUGUCCUCCUGAACCCUGCCCUGCACCCCCAAGUAAGAGCCUUAACUGUAUCAGUUAGAGUUAGCCACAAACAACAAACAUCUGCAGAUCAUUUAAUAACAACUAUUGUUAUUUUCAUCGUUAGUGUCCUAGUUGUUACUUGAGGACACUGUGGUAGGGUUGGUGGUAAGGGUUUCCCAUGCAUUGUUUUUUGUGGUUUAAAAUUUUUCUCUAUUUUAUUUAUCUUUGGCUGUGCUGGGUCUUUGUGGCUGUUCGGGCUUCUCUCUAGUUGCAGUGAGGGGGCUUCUCAUCGCAGUGGCUUCUCUUGUUGCGGAGCACGGGCUUCAGAGCUCAGGCUCAGCUGUCAUGGCGCAUGGGCUUAGCUGCUCUGUGGCAUAUGGGAUCUUCCAGGAACCAGGGAUCAAACCGUGUUUCCUGCAUUGGAAACACUGAGCCACCAGGGAAAGUGAAAGAUGCUGUUGUGUCUGACUCUUUGAGACCCAUGGACCAUACAGUCCAUGGAGUUCUCCAGGCCACAAUACUGGAGUGGGUAGCCUUUCCCUUCUCCAGGGUAUCUUCCCAACCCAGGGAGCGAACCCAGGUCUCCCGCAUUGCAGGCAGAUUCUUUGCCAGCUGAGCCAUAAGGGAAGCCCAAGAAUACUGGAGUGGGUAGCCUAUCCCUUCUCCAGGGGAUCUUCCCGACCUGGGCAUUGAACCAGGAUCUCUUGCAUUGCAGGCGGAUUCUUUACCAACUGAGCUACCAGGGAAGCCCUGAGCCACCAGGGAAGCUCACAUUAUUUCUUUUUACCUAUAACUUUGAAAAGGAGGCUAUUCCUCCCUGGUAAAAAUGAAGUAAUUGGGCUUUAGAAAAGUUGAGAAAUUUGCCCCUGGGCCACAGACUUAGUAAGAGAUGAAGAUGGUUUUCCAAGCUAGACAGACUGUGAAGCUGGAGGCCCCCAUCGCCAGGGCCUAUCCUCUUGAUUUCGAAGCUCCUUCUGGGCUUCAGCCAGAAGCCAGCAGACGGGGCAGUGGAGCCUCCAUCCUCUGUGGCCUCCACCGGCCUUCCUACUUCAAAGCAAUUUCCAGAAAUUGGGCUUGAGGUGGCUGCUGACAUUCCCAAGAGCAGAACCCUGGCGCUAGAUUCCCAGCAGCCACAAGAGCUGGCAAGAAGCAAAACUGCUCUCAUGGCCUCAGGAAACAUCUGCAAGUCCUCAAGGAGGCAAGACCCAUGACUUUAUCACCUUUCCAGGGGAGACAGUGGAACGGGCCCAUCCGCAGUGAUUGGACAGACGCACUGCUUUUACUCUCCAGGCUGGGUUUCUCCAAGUGGAACAAUUCCCUCCUAACUACAUUUUUAGGACAUGGGGCACUUGGGAGCAGACCCCGUACUUUUUGCAGUGGGGUCACAGUCCUGAAAUCAAAGCUACCACCUUCCUUCUAGAGCUCACAUGCAAUGAUGUGGACAGCGACAAGCAGCAUCUGCAAUUCUCGGCGACUGGUCAAGACAGGGGGUGAGGGGAAAGGAGAAGAGUGUGAACUCUGAAGUUGGAAAGAUCUGUUUCCUCACAUCCUGGUUGUGUGACUUCAGGCAACUUUCCUAACGUUGCUAGGUUGUUUCUUCAUCUGAAAGAAAUAUGAACAAUGGUAUUUGUAUUGCAUAAUUCCUGGGAGGAUGAAAAGGACAAAGCACAUCAAUAGUUAAAAUUGCCUAGCACAUGGUGGGGGCUCACUGAGCGAUAAUGACUAAUGUUAAUAUUAUGAACAUUAUUGUAAAGGCUCUAGGAGUGGCAGUUAUAAGUGGUGUUUUUAAGCAGAAAACAACAGAAGGGACUUUUAAGCUGGGUUUUGACAUGUAAGUAGGAAUUUGUUGAAUGACUGGUGGGCAGGAAGGGUUUUCUAGUUAGAAACAACAGUCAGGGCAGCUUUGUGAAGGAGCAAAGGAUGUUCAGGGAGCAUGAGAGGACCAGUCAGGAACUACUGAAAUAUUCCCAUUCAGAGAUAAGCGAACUGGCUGGGGCAAGAUGACACUCUGAAAUCCCCUUUCUACUGUCCUCAAAUAAAG
ensembl:lncRNA